UACGAAGGGGGCUAGCGUUGCUCGGAAUCACUGGGCGUAAAGCGCACGUAGGCGGAUUGCUAAGUCAGGGGUGAAAUCCUGGAGCUCAACUCCAGAACUGCCUUUGAUACUGGCGAUCUCGAGUCCGGGAGAGGUGAGUGGAACUGCGAGUGUAGAGGUGAAAUUCGUAGAUAUUCGCAAGAACACCAGUGGCGAAGGCGGCUCACUGGCCCGGUACUGACGCUGGAGGUGCGAAAGCGUGGGGAGCAAACAGGGAUUAGAAUCCACCCGGUACGUCCGAGAACCAAACGAUCU
rnacentral:rRNA from 1 species